UUACUAAUAAAUGACAGGAGUGAUGGGUGGACGAUGAAGAACUAAUCUUAUUUUCGCGAUGAAUUGAAAUAGAUUGAUUUCAACUCGGGACCAAAAUAGGAUUAGUCUGCCCAUUUUUAAAGAUGCUGCAGGAGCUAUCACAGGGAUAGCUUUGUUUGUGCACGUUACAGGUACGGCUAAUCCUUCCAGAUCAACUGGGAGGAUUUUUUU
rnacentral:sRNA from 1 species